rnacentral:piRNA from 1 species
UGGGGCCACGUGAGCAAAAUCCCAGUGAGC